UACGGAGGGGGUUAGCGUUGUUCGGAAUUACUGGGCGUAAAGCGCACGUAGGCGGAUCAGAAAGUUGGGGGUGAAAUCCCAGGGCUCAACCCCGGAACGGCCUCCAAAACUCCUGGUCUUGAGUUCGAGAGAGGUGAGUGGAAUUCCGAGUGUAGAGGUGAAAUUCGUAGAUAUUCGGAGGAACACCGGUGGCGAAGGCGGCUCACUGGCUCGAUACUGACGCUGAGGUGCGAAAGUGUGGGGAGCAAACAGGAUUAGAUACCCGGGUAGUCCCUGAGCGGGCUGGCAA
rnacentral:rRNA from 1 species